UAACUAUAAACGAUGUCAACGAAGGAUUGGAUAAAUUUUAAGACAAAUAAUGACUAUCAGCAUUGCUGGGAGUUGUUAAAUGUCGAAUACACCUUAUUCAGAACUUGAAGAGAAAUCUUGAGUUAGUGGACUUCAGGGGGAGUAUGGUCACAAGGCUGAAACUUAAAGGAAUUGACGGAAGGGCACACAAGGAGUGGAGCCUGCGGCUUAAUUUGACUCAACACGG
rnacentral:rRNA from 1 species